rnacentral:rRNA from 1 species
GACGAACGCUGGCGGCGUGCUUAACACAUGCAAAUCGAACGGAAAGGCCCUGCUUUUGUGGGGUGCUCGAGUGGCGAACGGGUGAGUAACACGUGAGUAACCUGCCCUUGACUUUGGGAUAACUUCAGGAAACUGGGGCUAAUACCGGAUAGGAGCUCCUGCUGCAUGGUGGGGGUUGGAAAGUUUCGGCGGUUGGGGAUGGACUCGCGGCUUAUCAGCUUGUUGGUGGGGUAGUGGCUUACCAAGGCGUUGACGGGUAGCCGGCCUGAGAGGGUGACCGGCCACAUUGGGACUGAGAUACGGCCCAGACUCCUACGGGAGGCAGCAGUGGGGAAUAUUGCACAAUGGGCGGAAGCCUGAUGCAGCAACGCCGCGUGCGGGAUGACGGCCUUCGGGUUGUAAACCGCUUUCGCCUGUGACGAAGCGUGAGUGACGGUAAUGGGUAAAGAAGCACCGGCUAACUACGUG